rnacentral:rRNA from 1 species
GACGAACGCUGGCGGCGUGCUUAACACAUGCAAGUCGAACGGAAAGGCCCUGCUUUUGUGGGGUGCUCGAGUGGCGAACGGGUGAGUAACACGUGAGUAACCUGCCCUUGACUUUGGGAUAACUUCAGGAAACUGGGGCUAAUACCGGAUAGGAGCUCCUGCUGCAUGGUGGGGGUUGGAAAGUUUCGGCGGUUGGGGAUGGACUCGCGGCUUAUCAGCUUGUUGGUGGGGUAGUGGCUUACCAAGGCUUUGACGGGUAGCCGGCCUGAGAGGGUGACCGGCCACAUUGGGACUGAGAUACGGCCCAGACUCCUACGGGAGGCAGCAGUGGGGAAUAUUGCACAAUGGGCGGAAGCCUGAUGCAGCAACGCCGCGUGCGGGAUGACGGCCUUCGGGUUGUAAACCGCUUUCGCCUGUGACGAAGCGUGAGGGACGGUAAUGGGUAAAGAAGCACCGGCUAACUACGG